AGCGAACGCUGGCGGCAGGCCUAACACAUGCAAGUCGAACGAAGUCUUCGGACUUAGUGGCGGACGGGUGAGUAACACGUGGGAACGUGCCUUUAGGUUCGGAAUAACUCAGGGAAACUUGUGCUAAUACCGAAUGUGCCCUUCGGGGGAAAGAUUUAUCGCCUUUAGAGCGGCCCGCGUCUGAUUAGCUAGUUGGUGAGGUAAAGGCUCACCAAGGCUACGAUCAGUAGCUGGUCUGAGAGGAUGACCAGCCACAUUGGGACUGAGACACGGCCCAAACUCCUACGGGAGGCAGCAGUGGGGAAUCGUGCGCAAUGGGCGAAAGCCUGACGCAGCCAUGCCGCGUGGAUGAUGAAGGUCUAGGAUUGUAAAAUCCUUUCACCGGUGAAGAUAAUGACUGUAGCCGGAGAAGAAGCCCCGGCUAACUUCGUGCCAGCCGCCGCUGUAACAC
rnacentral:rRNA from 1 species